UAGGCUCUAAGAAAUGACUUUAUAUUUAACUGCUGGUUUCAAACAGGAGCCUAAAGAAAUGUCUUUCUAUGGUCUGUUGACCAUUUCAGAAUUCUGAAAGUGUCAUGGUCAAUUCCUUAGAAAGAAACAUCU